rnacentral:rRNA from 1 species
GACGAACGCUGGCGGCGUGCCUAACACAUGCAAGUCGAACGAGAAUCUUUGAACAGAUCUUUUCGGAGUGACGUUCAAAGAGGAAAGUGGCGGACGGGCGAGUAACGCGUGAGUAACCUGCCCAUAAGAGGGGGAUAAUCCAUGGAAACGUGGACUAAUACCGCAUAUUGUAGUUAAGUUGCAUGACUUGAUUAUGAAAGAUUUAUCGCUUAUGGAUGGACUCGCGUCAGAUUAGAUAGUUGGUGAGGUAACGGCUCACCAAGUCAACGAUCUGUAGCCGAACUGAGAGGUUGAUCGGCCGCAUUGGGACUGAGACACGGCCCAGACUCCUACGGGAGGCAGCAGUGGGGAAUAUUGCGCAAUGGGGGCAACCCUGACGCAGCAACGCCGCGUGCAGGAAGAAGGUCUUCGGAUUGUAAACUGUUGUCGCAAG